rnacentral:rRNA from 1 species
ACCUGGGAACUGCAUUUGUGACUGCAUAGCUAGAGUCUGUCAGAGGGGGGUGGAAUUCCACGUGUAGCAGUGAAAUGCGUAGAGAUGUGGAGGAACACCGAUGGCGAAGGCAGCCCCCUGGGAUAAGACUGACGCUCAUGUACGAAAGCGUGGGGAGCAAACAGGAUUAGAUACCCUGGUAGUCCACGCCCUAAACGAUGUCGACUAGUUGUCGGGCCUUUACAGGCUCGGUAACGCAGCUAACGCGUGAAGUCGACCGCCUGGGGAGUACGGUCGCAAGAUUAAAACUCAAAGGAAUUGACGGGGACCCGCACAAGCGGUGGAUGAUGUGGAUUAAUUCGAUGCAACGCGAAAAACCUUACCUACCCUUGACAUGCCCGGAAUCUCGCAGAGAUGCGAGAGUGCCCGAAAGGGAGCCGGGACACAGGUGCUG